GGGAAUAACCUUGCGAAAGUAAGACUAAUACCCAAUGAUAUCUCUAGAAGACAUCUGAAGGAGAUUAAAGAUUUAUCGGUGAUGGAUGGGGAUGCGUCUGAUUAGCUUGUUGGCGGGGUAACGGCCCACCAAGGCGACGAUCAGUAGGGGUUCUGAGAGGAAGGUCCCCCACAUUGGAACUGAGACACGGUCCAAACUCCUACGGGAGGCAGCAGUGAGGAAUAUUGGUCAAUGGACGAGAGUCUGAACUAGCCAAGUAGCGUGCAGGAUGACGGCCCUAUGGGUUGUAAACUGCUUUUAUAAGGGAAUAAAGUGAGAGUCGUGACUCUUUUUGCAUGUACCUUAUGAAUAAGGACCGGCUAAUUCCGUGCCAGCAGCCGCGGUAAUACGGAAGGUCCGGGCGUUAUCCGGAUUUAUUGGGUUUAAAGGGAGCGUAGGCCGGAGAUUAAGCGUGUUGUGAAAUGUAGAUGCUCAACGUCUGCACUGCAGCGCGAACUGGUUUCCUUGAGUACGCACAAAGUGGGCGGAAUUCGUGGUGU
rnacentral:rRNA from 1 species